rnacentral:lncRNA from 1 species
GGGUAAGGGAGGGGCUUGGCACUGACCUUUUCUGAAUGCCCAGUGCCAUCCCAGCCAGGAGCACGUAAGUAAUGAAGGCCAUCGCUGCCAAGUGCCAGAGAGAUGCCAUCAGCUUGGCUUCCUCCAUCAGAGCUGCCUUACUAGGCAUUCGGGUUCACCGACAUGUCCCAUACUUCCUUCUCUGAAUAGCCCAGCAUGGCCUGACCUCCACAUUCUGCUUCCAAAUGCCCUGCCUGGAAUGCCUGUCUCCGAUCAGCCCUCUCCCACUGUGUAAAUGCCACCUGACCCUUCUUCCAGAACCACAAGCCACCUUUCCUGUCCCUGUGCUGGGAAGCUCAUCAGUGUUCUGCUGCAUCUCAGAAACUGUAUCAUGGGCCAAGGCCAUUGUUCCGCCUAUACAGGGACCAAACUGGUUUCUGGCAAGACCAGAAGCCAGGUUCAGUGGACACCCAUGCUGUCCUGAGUCUGGGGUCAUGGAGAUGACCUCACCGCAGUCAGCAAUUCUAAGUCUCAGCACUGGCUAGGGCUCUGGCUGCCCAACAAUGCAGGGAACUCCAAGUUUAACUUUGGGCAGUAUUCAUAAAAGCUCAGAGCCAGUGGGAGCCGGGCAUUAGCAGCAGUUUUAACUCUGUCUUCUGCCCCGCUUAAAGCACUAGAAUUGGCUGGGCGCAGUAGCUCACGCCUGUAAUCCCAGCACUUUGGGAGGCUGAGGCAGGCAGCUCACUUGAGCCCAGGAGUUCAAGACCAGCCUGGGCAACAUGGCAAAACCCUGUCUCUACUAAAAAUACAAAAAUUAGCUGGGCCUGGUGGCAGGCGCCUGUAGCCUGCAGUCCCAGCUGCUCAGGAGACUGAGGCAGGAGGAUCACCACCUGAGCCUGAGAGGCAGAGGCUGCAGUGAGCCAAGAUCACACCACUGUACUCCAGACUGGGUGACAGAGUGAGACCCUGUCUCAAAAGAAGAAGAAAAAAAAAGCACUGACAUGACCACCAGCGGGGAGUGUCUGGAGUUCUGGAGUCAGGAAAUCAGCUGUACCACCUGUCAACUUUGAGGCCUCAAUGAUACUGAAGCUCCUCUGAGGCUUGGCUUCAACAUGUAAAAUGGGGAUGCCAGUUCCAGCCUUACACGGUGGCUACGAUGGGCACACGGGAUGAAGGAUGGAAGCCCCUGUGCUGCCCAGCACACCUAGGCUGGCUGCCUGCCCUCAGUCCCACUGGCUGCCCUCACUGGAAGCUCAUCUGCGGGCUGGUCCCUGCACACUCACUCACCCUGGGUGUCCACGAUGGGCCUGGCCCUGUGCAGCCAACAGGACAGAGAAGAGUCAGCUGUAUGUGUGGGCAGCCUGAAAAAUGCCAUGUGGACAGGCAGUUGUGGGAACCCAGAAGGGAGCCACCACUUGCUCAGGGGGUCAGGAAAGGCUUCUUGGAAGAAGGGAUAACAGAGCACGCCUUGGAGGAC